UAUUUUUAGCCGGGUCUCGGGCGCGAGCCCGCCGCGUGAGGGGGCGCCCUGACCCCGCCGGGAGUGCGGAGGGGGCGGGGGCGGAGUCGCCAUCUUGGACUCGGUUCGACCAGGUCUGGUGACCGGCGACGCGGGGCCGGGCUCGGCGCCGGGGGUCGGGAACUACUAUCAAUGCCUUUUACAAAAUGAGGUCAUUGGAUUGCAGAGUUGGCCUUCGAGAAGAUUUUGUGGCCUUUCUCAGCUGUCUAGGUGCUGUAGGUGCUGUGUUUCUAUGGCUGCAAGGAUGAAGAUGCUCUCAAGCUGGGCCAGUGGCCAACUGCAGAAAGGAGAGUGGCCGAGCAGGGCAGGUCAUAGAAGGCACAGGAUGGGGAAGGACACUGGAGACCAGGUUCCUGUAGGGCGUGUGGGAGGAUUACUCUUCCUGGCCCUGUUUAAGUGAGGUCUGGCCAAGUGAUUUGUCUUCACCAAUGAAAGAAAAGCAAAAAGAACAUGUCACUUCCAGGCAGAAUGUCUGGAAGCCAGUGGACAGUCUGCCUUGAUCCAUUGUCCUGCCUCAGAGGUCAUGGAAAUAUAUGUCAAGACUCAGUCUCUGUCAGCCUGGAUUCACCAGUGACUACAACCCUGCCAACCUCCCUGGGCAUGUAGGGGGAGAGAAAAAUAAGCUUCCAUUGUAUGAAGCUAAGAGAUCUGGAGAGUUAUUUCUUUCUGUAGCACACUCUGACUAAUAGAGUAGCUAGCAGCUAGGAGGUUUUUUAAUAUCUUUAUUUAGCAAAACGAAAUGGUGCCAAUCUUAGGUUGAUAUGAUUUUUUUUCUUUUGAUAUUUAAUUGCCCCGGGAAGUACAAUGCCUUGGACAUUCUGACACUGAUAACUGGAGUGUGGGGAGGUGUCCGGUUUAACACGGGUAACAGUUCUCAGGACAGGGGCCACUAUAUGGGACCCCUCAGCCCCAAUUCAACCAGAGUCACACCUGUUUUAUCUGCAUAAUGAAUAAAUGAACAAGGAUACCGGGCUUCUGCACAAGAUUUCACAUCAGGAAAGGGUUUUAUAGCUGAAAAAGAAAAAGUUAAAAGUUGUGCAGCAAAGACUAUGCUAAGCCCUGGGAAUGUUGUAAAGAAUGAGACAGACACAGGCUGCAUAUUGGCUAUGACUUUCAGCUUUGCGGGGCAUGGAGAGGCCGGAAGGGCAGACAAAAGACAAGUCAACUAAUUAAUUAAAUAACUGAAAGUAGAAACACUCUAUGUAGGUAAGAUAUGGGGACUGAAGUAGAGAUUAACAGGAGGUGGCAGGCUGGUAAGAUCUCUUGUCAGAAGAUAGUAUUUUAGUUGCAACCUGGAGGAUGGAAGGGCUACCAGGCAAAAAGGUGUGUAACCUGUUCAAGAGGCUGAAGGCCUGCGUAGCAGGAGGCAGGGCUGAGAAGGAGAGAAGAAGGAAAUAAGUUGGAGGAUCCACAGGAGCCUAAUAAGCAGGCUCUCACAAGCCACAAGGAGGGUCUCACUCUGUCACCAGGCUGGAAUGCAGUGGCACAUUCAUGGCUCAUUGCAGUCUUAACCUCCUGGACUCAAACAAUCCUCCAAUCUCGGCCUCCUGAGUAGCUGGACUACAGUGCCUUCUGGUAGAAGAUGUCUUCUCCCUAUGCAUUUGGUCCUGACAAAAACUAUGUGAGGAAUCUCCAGGAUAGCCAAAGAGUCCAGCUUAAAGGUAGCCAGCCAGAAAAAGUGCCCAAACCACGCAGUGAGAUCACACCUUUGAAGACUCCACCUUGGCAUAGACUCUACGGCUUUCACAAAUGAUGCUGAGCUCUCAGCAGCACCAGAACCUCAGGCUCUGACACCCGCAAAGCUGCAGGUCUCCAGGGCUGCUUGGGCCAAAAGGUGGGUUCUGGGCAGCCCCCUUCCUCCUGGUCCACUUCUAAACUACACUCUUCCCUGGGCAUAUCUGAUUCGUAAAGCCCAGGGCACGUGACUGAGUGACUGAAAACAACAGAAAUUUAUUGUUUUAUAUUUCUGGAGACAAGAAGUCCAGAAUCAAGGUGUUGGCAGUGCUGCCCUCCCUCUGGAGGCUGUAGGGGACAAUCCAUUUUUCGCCUCUUCCAGCUCCGGAGCUGUAGACAUUCUUCGAUUUGUGGCCAAAUUGCUCCAAUCUCUGCUUCUCUGAUCACAGCGCCUCCUUCUCCUCCCUCUCUGUGCUAAAUCUCAUUCUGCCUUACAUUUAUAAGGACAUUGGCACUGGAUUUAGAGCCCACCAGAUAAUUUGGGAUGAUCUUCUUCAUAUCAAGAUCCUUCACAUCUGCAAAGAUCCUUUUUCCAAAUAAGGUAAUAGUCACAGGUUCUGGGGAUUAGGACAUGGUACUUUUUUUUUUUUUUUCCGGAGGAGGGUAACCAUUCAACUCACUGUACCUGGCUAUAGAUUCAAACCACCAAUGAGGCUUUUUAUACAAGUACAGAUAUGGAAGCCUACUUAGACCAAUGGAAUUGAAAUCUUUAGGGCUGUGGCAUCUAGACUGCAUUUUGUUGUUGUUGUUGUCAACUCUCCAAGUAUUGUGCUGCUUAGCCUGGCUUGAGGACCAGUGAUUGUACAAUCCACCUCUUUAUACAGCUGAGACCAGAGGCCCGGACAGGGGCCAAGACCUCCUCAAGUCACAUUGUACAGGCUUGGACCCCCAGCAAGUGUUCCUCAGCCACUUCCAGCUGUGUGCAGCCCCCAUCCCACCAGGACCCUUCAGGCUUUCAGAGCACCCAGGUGGCCAGCAUCUUCUCUGGCUUGCUCUUAGCUAGGAUCCUUAUGAACUUCCUCAAGAUUCAGGACAAUGCCUGGCCUCAGAUUGGAUGGGUCCCCAAACAGGGGCCAAAUCAACCUGCUGACUUGCUGUGUGACCUCAAGGAAGUCACUGAACUUCUCUUGUUCUAGUUUGCUCAUCUUUAACAUGGAGGAUUCAGCUCAUUGUGCUCUAAGGCAACUUUCAUAGCAGAAAUGCUGUGAUUUGGUAAUUCUAAGCAUCCGAAAAUGUUUUCUUUGGCCCUUGGCCAUCCCAGGAUGUUUGAUAAAAUCUGAUCAUUUGGAUAAGUCCCAGAAAAGGAACAGAUCAGAGCCUGCGUUGGGUGCUGGGAGCCCACCUGAUGGGAGAAUGUGUGUAUACGUGGCGGGGAAUAGGGAGCAUGGUAAAGUGUGGAGACUGAGAACUAGAAAGAAUUAAAGAUUAUUCAACUUGUUCCAAAUAUAGAAACUGAGCCCCAGAGAAGGAAAUGAUUCGUUCAAGUUCAUACAGCUAGUUAAAGGCAGAACUGGGAUUAGAAUUAAUCCAUUCCUGGGUUCUUUCCCCUACAAUGAGGAUGACAAAUACAUUUCCUUUUCUGCCCUCUGAUCAAUUAGCAGUGGCUGCCUUGAGCACUGACUUCUGGAAGGUUCCCAGCUUCUUCAAAAUUCAGCAAGAAGAAUGCUGAUUGAUUAGCAAUGUCUGAUAUGGCCACAGGAAAGGAGAGUACCCAGAAUUUGUCAGCCAGGACUUACCAGGACUUGUGAUAGAACAAAAUUGCCAGUGGGGAACUUGAGGCUCAUUCCUCAUAGAGAACCAACAGGUGAAAGAAAAGCAGUAAACUACAUAAUUCCUUCUGCAGAAAACUCUUUUAAGUGCCUGGCCCAAAAUUCAGAGGUGGUAGUCAAUGCAUGCUUAGGGAACCAGUUCAGUCAAAGUUUGCUAAGUAACACUGGGAACAAAUAGUAUUGCAAACUGUGAAAAGGGAAGCAGAACAAGAUAAUGAGUAAGGUAGAAACACAUUGUACAAUGUGCACCAGAAGUUUUUGUUGUAUUUUUUAAUGUUGCUCCAACUGUAAUAUCACUGCUUAGACUGAGACAGUGAAAUUAAUUAUUUACUUUCAGGAGCAUAGUUGCAAAGUUGUAUGUAAAACUAUAUGAGCAUAUGGACUUGCUAAUUUCUCCAUGCCUAGAUUUAAUUCUAGUCAAUAACAAUAACAACAAUAGCUAUGUCAUUUAAUCCUCUUGACAACCUUAUGAGGUAAAUGUUUUUAUUAUCACUGUUUAACAGAUGAGGAAACUGAGGUAUAGAUGGGCUGAGGGACCUGUCCAAGUUCACACAAUUAAUAGGUGGCAGAACUGGGAUUUGAAUCUAACUUGUGAUUUCAACACGUCCCUCUAAUUAAAAGCUGGACCCAACCUGAGGCAUAUUUGAGAACUCAUGGAAGUUACUAGAAGUGGGGUAUAGGCCUCUUCAGAACUGGCCUUGAAAUUUCAACUCUUCUUAAUACAAAAGCAACAUCAUGGUCUUUCUCUUGUUUUCAUUUACUAGGCUCCAAAUCACCAAACUUCUUUGCCUCUCUGGGAAAACUAAAUGACCCACCACUUCAGAAGAAGCUCAUGGGGUCUGUGCACAGCUUUUCACAUCCUCCCUGAAACACCAACACGCCCGGUCCAGGUUAAAGGAUAUCAGCACUGCCACACACUCUUCUUUUUCCCAAAUUAAUCAAGAAGUAGGAAUUUCUGACAAAUGCCAUCUGCUGAUUUUUCAGAGAGACAAGUUUUGGUGGUGUGACCAGCAGGUGCCUCGGCUUUUUCUAGCAUGCAGUACCAAAAUAGUCACCAUGGCAACCCUGGGAGGGCAGACUUCCAAAGAGAUGCAUUGUGAGCACAGAAACUCUAGAGCACUUUCAAGCUAAAAGGAAGGAGGCUCAGCAGUGGGUUUCCAACCAUGGCAAGUAGCGGCUUCUCCCCACAGCCCUGGGC